UCACCUCGCAGGCGGCCGGCCCCCAGGUGGGGCUGGGCGAGUAUCCCUUCCAGAGGCUCUCCCCCAAGCACGACUAGGAGC
rnacentral:pre_miRNA from 1 species